rnacentral:rRNA from 1 species
GAAAGCCUGAUGCAGCCAUGCCGCGUGUAUGAAGAAGGCCUUCGGGUUGUAAAGUACUUUCAGUUGUGAGGAAGGGUGUGUAGUUAAUAGCUGCGCAUCUUGACGUUAGCAACAGAAGAAGCACCGGCUAACUCCGUGCCAGCAGCCGCGGUAAUACGGAGGGUGCGAGCGUUAAUCGGAAUUACUGGGCGUAAAGCGCAUGCAGGUGGUUCAUUAAGUCAGAUGUGAAAGCCCGGGGCUCAACCUCGGAACUGCAUUUGAAACUGGUGAACUAGAGUGCUGUAGAGGGGGGUAGAAUUUCAGGUGUAGCGGUGAAAUGCGUAGAGAUCUGAAGGAAUACCAGUGGCGAAGGCGGCCCCCUGGACAGACACUGACACUCAGAUGCGAAAGCGUGGGGAGCAAACAGGAUUAGAUACCCUGGUAGUCCACGCCGUAAACGAUGUCUACUUGAGUGUGGCUGAGCCGGGCUGCGACUACCCGUGAUAACGCGCUGGGUAGUCCGCCAGAUGAGUAUGAUCGCCGGAUCGUGACUCUGUAUAAUUACCAACGGUCU